rnacentral:rRNA from 1 species
UAGUCCACGCCGUAAACGAUGGAUACUAGCUGUUCGGAUUUAUCUGAGUGGUUAAGCGAAAGUGAUAAGUAUCCCACCUGGGGAGUACGUUCGCAAGAAUGAAACUCAAAGGAAUUGACGGGGGCCCGCACAAGCGGUGGAGCAUGUGGUUUAAUUCGAUGAUACGCGAGGAACCUUACCAGGGCUUAAAUGUAGUCUGACAGGCGUGGAAACAUGCUUUUCUUCGGACAGAUUACAAGGUGCUGCAUGGUUGUCGUCAGCUCGUGUCGUGAGAUGUUCGGUUAAGUCCGGCAACGAGCGCAACCCACAUCUUUAGUUGCCAGCAGUUCGGCUGGGCACUCUAGAGAAACUGCCAGCGUAAAGCUGUGAGGAAGGUGGGGAUGACGUCAAAUCAUCACGGCCCUUACGUCCUGGGCUACACACGUGCUACAAUGGUAGGGACAGAGAGUUGCCAACCCGCGAGGGUGAGCUAAUCUUCAAACCCUAUCUCAGUUCGGAUCGGAGU